UGAACAGAAAAGAUGUGGCACCUGUUGCAUCCAUAUAUCAAUAAAUUUAAGAUACAUAUAAAUAAAUAAAUAAUACAUUUGCACAAAAGUAAUCAAUUAGCAAAAGAGACAGAGCAAGCACCAAUUGAGAGAGAAAGAUUGACCAAAGCAAAAGGGGGGAAAAAGUAGCAGCAAUGGACAAAACUAAUUGCAAUUUAGAAACAGAGAAUAGCAGCAGAGAUCAUACGAGGAACGCAAAGCAAAACAGAUGGAAAAAUAAGAAAUAUCUAAAAAUAAAAAGGAAGUUGGCAGUAAGCAGUUGAUAUAAAAGAUAUGAUAGAUAUUUACUUGACAAAAAAAUGGCCUUAUUACAAUGCUGAACUAUUUUAUACCCUAAGUUUCACCCAGGGUCAAUAAUUAAAUAUCUUGCAAGAUUCUUCGCCGCAGAGACAUCAUCUAUGUGCAGAUUAGUUAGUGAUAAUGACACUCAAGAAGCCACAUACCUUA
rnacentral:misc_RNA from 1 species